rnacentral:misc_RNA from 1 species
UUUCCGUAGGUGAACCUGCGGAAGGAUCAUUCAUAAUAAGUGUUUUAUGGCACUUUUUUAAAUCUAUAUCCACCUCGUGUGCAAUGUCAGAGUUGGUCUCUUGUGAUCAGCCCCAAACAUAAACUAAUACAUCAACUCAUUGUCUGAUAAAUAUUAUGAAUAAAACAAUUCAAAAUACAACUUUCAACAACGGAUCUCUUGGCUCUC